rnacentral:rRNA from 1 species
CAGCAGCCACGGUAAUACGAAGGGUGCAAGCGUUACUCGGAAUUACUGGGCGUAAAGCGUGCGUAGGCGGCUUCUUAAGUCGGAUGUGAAAUCCCUGAGCUUAACUUAGGAAUUGCAUUCGAUACUGGGAAGCUAGAGUAUGGGAGAGGAUGGUAGAAUUCCAGGUGUAGCGGUAAAAUGCGUAGAGAUCUGGAGGAAUACCGAUGGCGAAGGCAGCCAUCUGGCCUAAUACUGACGCUGAGGUACGAAAGCAUGGGGAGCAAACAGGAUUAGAUACCCCUGUAGUCCCUGUCUCUUAUAC